AUGAAAAUUUCAUUACGAUGCUCUCAGGCCUCCAAUGAAUGAAUAUUCUCAUCAUCUACAGACUCACAUGGUACCCAGCAGCUCCAGAGACUUCUCCUUAGAGAAUAAGCCCGGGUAUUUUGUCACAGUAAGAGGAAGUGUAACUAAUGCACAUGGCAACUAGGAGAUGUGAGGGAGAGACUGGAAUGAAAUGACUCUCUUACUCUCUGGAUCCUCUGGUGAGGAAAAGACCCAAGUCCAAGUCUAUAGUCAGCUCUCUGUGCUCAUGUGUUGACAUCUUGAGGCCACUAAAGUUCUGUUCAAGAAACUCCUGCCUCUGUAGGACACAUCCUCUCACCCAUGGGGUCAGAGGACGUUAGAAGUCCGGAAGGGUCAGCUUGGUCAGCAGCUCUUCACUGAAAACUGGAUUUUAGGAGAUAAGCCCAGAGAUUACCCACACAACUAUUAAGCAUAUAGAUAAAGAAUACACCCAUCCUUCCCUGAAAAGGACUGAUGAACAAAGAGUCAAUGGUAUUAAAUAAAGUCUAUUACUUCCUGGUUCAUA